UGUCCUGUUUUACUGUUAACUUAGUUAAAAUAUUUAAAUAAGAUGAAAAUUGGUCUUCACUUUUUUAUAUUGUUCCAUGUUUUCUACGUCUCUGCAGCACUACAUCUCAACGGUACCGGAGAAGAAUGUCUACGACUGUUUGAAGAUAUCUAUAUGAGUGGUGUACCAGAGAUAAAACAAUGGAAUUACAAAGUGAUAGAUAAAAUCGACGUG